rnacentral:misc_RNA from 1 species
GAUGAAGAACGCAGCGAAAUGCGAUAAGUAAUGUGAAUUGCAGAAUUCAGUGAAUCAUCGAAUCUUUGAACGCACCUUGCGCCCUUUGGCUAUUCCGAAGGGCAUGCCUGUUUGAGUAUCAUGAACACCUCAACCCUCAUGGUUUGCCAUGAUGGGCUUGGACUUUGGGGGUCUUGCUGGAUUGUAGUCAGCUCCCCUUAAAUGAAUCAGCUUGCCAGUGUUUGGUGGCAUCACAGGUGUGAUAAAUAUCUACGCUUGUGGUUGUACAUCAGAUAACCUUCAGUGAUGGAGGUUCACUGGAGGUCAUAAAGGUGUCUCUCCUCUGUGAGGACAGCUCUUUGAAUGUUUGAUCUCAAAUCAGGCAGGACUACCCGCUGAACUUAAGCAUAUCAAUAAGCGGAGGA